rnacentral:rRNA from 1 species
UACAGAGGAUGCAAGCGUUAUCCGGAAUGAUUGGGCGUAAAGCGUCUGUAGGUGGCUUUUAAGUCCGCCGUCAAAUCCCAGGGCUCAACUCUGGACAGGCGGUGGAAACUACCAAGCUGGAGUACGGUAGGGCAGAGGGAAUUCCGGUGGAGCGGUGAAAUGCGUAGAGAUCGGAAAGAACACCAACGGCGAAAGCACUCUGCUGGGCCGACACUGACACUGAGAGACGAAAGCUAGGGAGCGAAUGGG